GAUUCAGCCAGAACACCCGAAGCAGCUCACUCCUAUAUUCAGAAACCUGACCACUGUGUUUCUUCUCGGUAUCUUCAGUGAGUGUGAUCUGAGCUGGACACUGUUUAUCCUUGAAGCUGCACCUGCCCUACAGGAUUUUGCAUUAUCUCGACAUUCAUGUAUCAAGACGCCCGAGGACAGUGCCGAGAAGACCAACAUGGUGUGGGAGCCAUCCAAGGAUUUGAAGCACCUGAACUUGAAGAUGCUUGUGAUCAUCGGGUGCGAGGAUGAAGACAAAGUGACAAACUUUAUAAGGCUUAUCAUGGAACGAGCUGUGGGGUUGUUGAAAAUCCAGCUGUGUGGUGAAAACCGUUGCAUGUACUGCAAUUGCACCAACCUUGAAAGAUCCAAGGCGGAAAAAGCUAGCAGGCGUCGGAUUAAGGAGCAACUCACACAUGGAACAUCCUCAUCCGUGGAGAUAAUUAUCUGUUGACGGAUAUGGUCAGGGAAUGCUAGUGGUCUCGUAAUGCUCGCAGGCUUGCAGCAGCUAGAGCAAUGACUGCAAGAGGCGCAGUGUAAUUCUAAUUUCUUGUUAUUGGUAACCUGAGCAAUUCUAAUUUCUGGUAAUUAGUAGCCUGGGAAUACUUGAUCGCACUGUGGCUAACUAAAAAUGUGUGUACUUGAAUCUGGAUGCAUGUUUUUCUCUUUCA